rnacentral:rRNA from 1 species
CCUACGGGUGGCAGCAGUGGGGGAUAUUGCACAAUGGGGGAAACCCUGACGCAGCGACGCCGCGUGUGGGAAGACGGUCUUCUGGAUUGUAAACCACUGUCCCCAGGGACGAAGAUGACGGUACCUGGGGAGGAAGCUCCGGCUAACUACGUGCCAGCAGCCGCGGUAAUACGUAGGGAGCGAGCGUUGUCCGGAAUUACUGGGUGUAAGGGGAGCGUAGGCGGGACUGCAAGUUGGGUGUCAAAUCUACCGGCUCAACCGGUAGCCGCACUCAAAACUGCAGUUCUUGAGUGAAGUAGAGGCAGGCGGAAUUCCUAGUGUAGCGGUGAAAUGCGUAGAUAUUAGGAGGAACACCAGUGGCGAAGGCGACCUGCUGGGCUUUUACUGACGCUGAGGCUCGAAAGUGUGGGGAGCAAACAGGAUUAGAUACCCCAGUAGUC